GACGAACGCUGGCGGCGUGCUUAACACAUGCAAGUCGAACGGAAAGGCCCUGCUUUUGUGGGGUGCUCGAGUGGCGAACGGGUGAGUAACACGUGAGUAACCUGCCCUUGACUUUGGGAUAACUUCAGGAAACUGGGGCUAAUACCGGAUAGGAGCUCCUGCUGCAUGGUGGGGGUUGGAAAGUUUCGGCGGUUGGGGAUGGACUCGCGGCUUAUCAGCUUGUUGGUGGGGUAGUGGCUUACCAAGGCUUUGACGGGUAGCCGGCCUGAGAGGGUGACCGGCCACAUUGGGACUGAGAUAUGGCCCAGACUCCUACGGGAGGCAGCGGUGGGGAAUAUUGCACAGUGGGCGGAAGCCUGAUGCAGCAACGCCGCGUGCGGGAUGACGGCCUUCGAGUUGUAAACCGCUUUCGCCUGUGACGAAGCGUGAGUGACGGUAAUGGGUAAAGAAGCACCGGCUAACUACGUG
rnacentral:rRNA from 1 species